rnacentral:tRNA from 1 species
ACCUGGGUGGCUCAGUCGGUUGAGCGUCUGACUUCGGCUCAGGUCAUGAUCUCACAGUUCGUGAGUUUGAGCCCCACAUCGGGCU